AUUGAACGCUGGCGGCAGGCCUAACACAUGCAAGUCGAACGAGUGGCGGACGGGUGAGUAAUGUCUGGGAAACUGCCUGAUGGAGGGGGAUAACUACCGGAAACGGUAGCUAAUACCGCAUACCAUCAGAUGUGCCCAGAUGGGAUUAGCUUGUUGGUGGGGUAACGGCUCACCAAGGCGACGAUCCCUAGCUGGUCUGAGAGGAUGACCAGCAACACUGGAACUGAGACACGGUCCAGACUCCUAAGGGAGGCAGCGGGGGGGAAUAGUGCACAAUGGGCGAAAGCCUGAUCCAGCCAUGCCGCGUGUGUGAAGAAGGUCUUCGGAUUGUAAAGCACUUUAAGUUGGGAGGCGUUACCAACAGAAUAAGCACCGGCUAACUUCGUGCCAGCAGCCGCGGUAAUUC
rnacentral:rRNA from 1 species